rnacentral:piRNA from 1 species
UGUUCUAGAAUAAAAUAAAAU